ACGCUGGCGGCAGGCCUAACACAUGCAAGUCGAACGGUAACAGGAAGUGCUUGCACUUCGCUGACGAGUGGCGGACGGGUGAGUAAUGCUUGGGAACUUGCCUUUGCGAGGGGGAUAACAGUUGGAAACGACUGCUAAUACCGCAUAAUGUCUACGGACCAAACGGGGCUUCGGCUCCGGCGCAAAGAGAGGCCCAAGUGAGAUUAGCUAGUUGGUAAGGUAAAGGCUUACCAAGGCGACGAUCUCUAGCUGUUCUGAGAGGAAGAUCAGCCACACUGGGACUGAGACACGGCCCAGACUCCUACGGGAGGCAGCAGUGGGGAAUAUUGCACAAUGGGGGAAACCCUGAUGCAGCCAUGCCGCGUGUGUGAAGAAGGCCUUCGGGUUGUAAAGCACUUUCAGUUGUGAGGAAAAGUUAGUAGUUAAUACCUGCUAGCCGUGACGUUAACAACAGAAGAAGCACCGGCUAACUCCGUGCCAGCAGCCGCGGUAAUACGGAGGGUGCGAGCGUUAAUCGGAAUUACUGGGCGUAAAGCGCACGCAGGCGGUUUGUUAAGCUAGAUGUGAAAGCCCCGGGCUCAACCUGGGAUGGUCAUUUAGAACUGGCAGACUAGAGUCUUGGAGAGGGGAGUGGAAUUCCAGGUGUAGCGGUGAAAUGCGUAGAUAUCUGGAGGAACAUCAGUGGCGAAGGCGACUCCCUGGCCAAAGACUGACGCUCAUGUGCGAAAGUGUGGGUAGCGAACAGGAUUAGAUACCCUGGUAGUCCACACCGUAAACGCUGUCUACUAGCUGUUUGUGACUUUAAGUCGUGAGUAGCGAAGCUAACGCGCUAAGUAGACCGCCUGGGGAGUACGGCCGCAAGGUUAA
rnacentral:rRNA from 1 species